rnacentral:ribozyme from 1 species
GAAAAAAACGAUGAAUUACAAACAAAAAACUGGGAACAAAGCGUCUAUUUAUUUUGCUUCUUUUUUUUCUCUCUUUCUUUCUUCUUUGUAUGUUGCUUGUUUUUUUCACUGUGAUUUU